UUUAGGUGUAACCAUGGGUUUCCACGCUCAACUUUGAUCUUAGUAUUUUUGUUGCUAUGAGUUGAUACAAUAUGAAUAGUACUUUACUCAUAACUUAUGUUUUUAAAUUUUUUAAAAAAAUUUCAAAUAAGAUAGACGAUCAAAGUUAGACGUGAAAAACCAUGGUUAUACUUGAA
rfam:Oryza sativa Japonica Group DNA, chromosome 8, cultivar: Nipponbare, complete sequence.